rnacentral:lncRNA from 1 species
AUUAGGAUAAUUUUAAGCAAAGCUAGUUAUAAAGGCCCAAACUUCAAGCCCAUAAUUUCUAGGGCCAACCCUAACCAAAAGAAACCUACAAAACAAAAAAGACCAUACACCCUACAAAAUGGAGAUCAACCAUUUUCCAUAAAAAAGUAGACCCCCUAAGGUUCUGUCGACCUCAUCCAAAAUCAAAGCUACCACCCCC